GACAGGGGGCGAUGGGAGCCAUGCCCAUUGCACAGAAACAAAGGGAGUGAUGGGGGAAAUUACAGACAGAAAAGGAAGGGAUGGGGGGAUUUGAUGGGUGGUCACAGAGAGAUUGGGUGAGGGAUGUGAGGGGACAUUACAGAGAGAUAAAUAAAAGGGAGGGAUCGGGUGAUUUGAGGGAUGGUCAGAGAGAGAAAUAGUGAGGGGGAUGUGGGGCUGAUUUUCGGUUCCUCCUUCCAGAUUUGUUCCGUAAAACCUGUUGGGUACAAUUCAAUCCCUCCCCCUUUCCCCUGAACGAAAAAUUCGAAACCUACAACUCAAAACUCACUCAUUUGUCGCCCCUCCUUGGCUUUCCGCUUUAUUCAUCUCCCGGUGUUUCUUUCUCUCCAUACGAUUCGAUUUCGUGAGUGUGCAGGUGGGCCCGUUCACUAACUAAGCUUUCAAGGGAACCCAUCAACGGUUUGUUUGCUGGGGGAAUUCGGAGACUACCAGUCAUGAUCUUCCGCUGCAGCAUCCAAAUUUUGCAUUUGUAAAUUGUCAAAGAAAAACGAAGUAUGAGGAAAUUAUAGGAGAUUGUGUCGGCUUUGGCCAUGAAGGGUAUCAGCAGCUUGUUCCCCCAUACAGAACCAGCAAUGCAAGAGCAGGAUCUGAUCAGUCACGCCCGAAAAGGGGAUGUGCCUGCCUCCUUGAAAACACUUUAUGUGAACAAGUGUGAGGUUCUACAUAAAAACAGGGCCAGUAAUACCCUGAACGUGGAAUCCUUACGAGGAUCUCUUGAAAAACUGACAAUAAAUGGAUGCCCGGGUCUCUCAUUGUUACUAGAGUCGACGGAGACGCUGCCGUCGCUUCAGAAGCUUGAUAUUGAUAGUGUUGGUGGGAAAGAGUUGUUGGCGCAAAUGGUGCACAACAGCAAUCGUCUUCAAAGUUUGACUUUAUAUAAAUGUUACUCACCCUUGUCGUUCCCUACAAAUGGUCUGCCCACCACGCUGACGUCACUGAGCAUAACAGAUUGCAAGAAAUUAGAAUUCCUAUCACGUGAGAUGAUGGCCAAAUUGACUUCCCUUCGGUCUUUGCGUCUAUCCAACAGCUGUGAACGCAAAGGCUUGAGUAUUUGCAGUUUAGUUUUUUUUUUCUUCAUUUUAGAGAUUUUUCUACUGUUUGGUUUUUGGGUUUUGUCUAAUUUUUGUGGUCUGCUUUAUAGAUUGUUCUCUUUGGAAGCUUCUUUCCAGCCUUGACCUUCUUCUUGCCUGGUGCCUUCUCAUUGAGUAUUGGAGGAGCAUUAAAACACAGGGAGUACUGAUGUACUGAUUUUCUGGGAUUUUUUUUUGUCCUUGCAGGAUUUUUGGUCUUUGAAAUGGAUCUCCACCCCACAUUUCACUAGUUGAAAUUCCAUAGAAGUCGGUUACUGCAGAUUGCGUCUACAAUUAGAUCAGAGAUCAACUGCUCUUUUGUUAUCCUGCAGAAGAUUGCUUUUGGGAAGGAUCUGAAGUAGUUUCUCUCUCGAUAGGAGAAACAAAGAGGAUGACACUUAUAACUGCCCUUCCCCAUCGGCCGUCUUCAAAUUUGGAUCACAAGAAGGGAGCAACAUAGGUGUUUUCCUUCUUCAUUUAGAUAUGGUUAGUGUAAAUAAUUGGACAAAAGAGCCAAACAAACCCUGUUCUCUCAAAUGGAGUCGAUGAUGUGGUCGACGGCCACCAGCCCCAACUCAAGAGUUUGGCCUUCAUAUAAUUGGAUUGUAGUAUAAUUUUAUUUUGGUUCAUUUCUUUUUUCCUUUAUAUAAGUGCAGGUGUUGUGAUGUUUUGAAUAAAGGGUGAUGAAAGGUGGUUCACACACUUCCUCCUUACUUAAAGCAAGUGGAGAUGACGGUUUGUAUAAAAAGAAAAACUUGCCACGUACUUCAAUUUUCUAUUUUAUUAAUUAUUGUUUGGUUUUCCAAAUGUUGUAUUCACUAAGAGACCAAUUAUGUCUUUGAGAAACAAGUUUCUUUGUCUACAUUGCGAGAAUUUGCAGUUUGCAACUUUCAUUGGUUAUUAUAUUUGAUUGAGUUAAACUUGGAUUUCUGGAUUUUGACUUUUUCGUUUGUUUCUUUGUUGCAGAGUUGGCUUCAUUUCAUUCCAGGAACUGUCUAAAUAGGGCCAAGAACUCACUAAUAGGUAGUCAAGAAGAAUUCAGUGUUGCCUUCAAUUUUUGCCUUCUGUUUACAUUCUUCCUGGAUGCACUCUCACCGCUUCUCUCGCUUACCACUUUUGUCUCACUCACCGCUUCAUCUCUUCUGUUGCUUACAAGGUCGUGUCAUAUAUUUUUUUAAUUUUGUGUGGUUUAAUUUAUUGAAUAUUUGAAAAAAGAGAUAAAAUUUUCAAUUUACAAUUACUGAUAUGAUGUUUGUUUUGAAAAUCAUUAAGGUGAAUGGAGAGAUUUACAACCAUGAAGAGCUGAGGAGCCGUUUGCCAAAUCAGAUUUAUAGGGCUUCAUCAAUUAUAAAUAAACGACUUUUCAUUCCCAAUGACCUUUAUCGUUUUUCUUAAUGGGUUAGCUGAACAUGAGGUAGAUGCUGACUUUAUCAAAUAUGAGAAUGUUUUAGGAUUUCAUUCUAAUUUUUUGGCUGUUUGAUUACUUUGCUUUUCGUAAUUUGAUUUGCUUAUCGUCAAUUGGAUGGGAUAAAACAUAUUUUUGUAACCAGUUUGUACUUUUUUUUUCUUUUUUUUGUGGAAACUAACCAGUUUGUACUUUUACCAAUUACCAUAUCGGUUUUGAUGGAAUUGGAGCUUUCAGUAAUGGGUUCUGAGGGAA